rnacentral:rRNA from 1 species
GACAGAGGUGCCAAGCGUUAGGCGGAAUCACUGGGCUUAAAGCGUGUGUAGGCGGAUUGCUAAGUACCUUGUGAAAUCCCACGGCUCAACCGUGGAACUGCUGGGUAUACUGGUUAUCUUGAGCCACUUAGGGGCGAGCGGAACAAAUGGUGGAGCGGUGAAAUGCGUAGAUAUCAUUUGGAACGCCAAUGUGAAAACAGCUCGCUGGGAGUGCGCUGACGCUGAGACACGAAAGCCAGGGGAGCGAACGGG